AUCAAGUCACGAAAUCGCUUCACACUGUUAAAUAACAAUUAAAGUUAGAAGUGCCGGCUAUGACGUUACUGUCGGAUUAGUCGUUGCAACCACCGACAACGUUUACGAAUGAAAAGAAGGACAACAAAGUAACUCCAACAUGGUUAAAACAUACGCUGCUUCAGCCAGGUCCGUAACCAUUCAUAAUUGCCGUUCGCAAAAAGCUGGAAAUGGCUUUCAACUCGAAUCUUGAAUCGCGAAUCGGACAUCCACGCAAAGCAACUAUUCCACGCAAACAAAGCAUCACGAACAACAGUCAAAGGUCUCUGAAAUGCCUGCCUUAUAUUCGCAAACCCGUGGAAGAUAGCAAAAGCGAUCAGCAUAACUCUUCAGUUUGUCGACAAUCAAAAUCGUAUACUACGCCAAAAAUUAGUUCAAUAAACUUGGAUUUGGUUUAGCAUUAUAAAUGUAGACCUUCCUGAACCAUCGACUAGAACGCGACAAGUCUCCACUGGAAUUACAGUAUUGCAAAAAAGUGUUGGAAGCCUCUAACCGAAGUUCAGCUCAACCCAUUCAGGACAAUCAAAAGUUCUAUUCUGCGCUUCAAAACACUCCAGGACCUAUCGCUGCUGGUGAGCGGAUUAAAAUUCAAGAUGAAAUGACUCAAACAACCCCAAUUCCGUCAGUGCCCAAUGCAUCCACUAUUAAUUCACUACACUGAAGAUUCCGAGUGAUCAGAAGCUCAGAAAACCAUUACCACCGUAUCUACAUUGGCGAAAGGCAAUUCAGAAUAGAUUAGUCACAGUUCAUCGUAUAGAAGUACUACAACUAGCACAACUUCAACAACGAUUAACGCCACCGAAAGUAGCCCCAGCUAAACGUGUGAAAUCAGUGAUUCGCAUGCUUCCUUAGAAACCAGACCUCUAGAAACCUCAACUUUCCCGAUAGUCAUCAUACCAGUGCUCCCCCGCCGGAGGAAUAUUCGCUGUGUUUUAAAGAAAGCUUGCAAUGUCACUCGAAAAACCAUCCUGCCAAGCAUCUAACGAAAUUUCUGCAAUUAAGAAUAAACUGCAAUUCUUGUACGUCUCGAGAGGGAAUGGGGUGGACUGAACAAACAAUUUUCAUAAACUUUCUCUGUACACAUCUAGGACAAGGAAUAGCGCACGCUUGCCAAUUAUCACCGAAAUCAGUGAGCAAUUUAAAUUUGUUUUCAUCGAACAGGUUACAAGAAUCCGGAGGAGGUGCAUCCGCUCUGUCCAAAAUCAUUUUAGCGUCCUGUCCAAGCCGCAUCCUAGCCUCGUGAAAGUUAAAGAUGACCACGACAGUGACGACUUCGAUAUCAAACACGCUGCAUCUUCAUUUGUCGAUGGUACCGUGCAUGGUGUGGAACUGGAACCGAACGAUAGGCCGAUACUGCUGGAUGUGCUUAGAAAGCGAACAUGUCCAGCCGAAGUCCAUUCUCUUCAACGAACGCUACUAAGCUACAAAGAAACGAAAGACUGCUUCCAAAUUUACGCCAACGACGACUGCUACUCGUCAUUAAGUAGCAAUUGUGAUCUGAUCAAGGAUGCCAUUUCGCUUGGCCAUUGCCUCUGGAUAAAUCAUCGACAGCAUCGACAACAUUAGGAAGGUUCUUAUUACAUUUUAAUAUUAUGUACCGUGCAAGCAACAUAUUCAAAACAGUGCCUAAUUCUGAAAAGUCUCAUUAUUCAUAAA